rnacentral:rRNA from 1 species
UACGUAGGUGGCAAGCGUUGUCCGGAAUCACUGGGCGUAAAGGGCGCGUAGGUGGCGACGCAAGUCAACGGUGAAAGCUCGACGCUCAACGUCGAGUCGGCCGUCGAUACUGCAUCGCUGGAGCACUGUAGAGGCAGAUGGAAUUCCGGGUGUAGCGGUGGAAUGCGUAGAGAUCCGGAAGAACACCGGUGGCGAAGGCGGUCUGCUGGGCAGUUGCUGACACUGAGGCGCGACAGCG